rfam:Salmo salar isolate Sally breed double haploid chromosome ssa07, whole genome shotgun sequence.
UGCAUUCACUACUGUAAGUUGCUCUGGAUAAGAGUGUCUGCUAAAUGACGUAAA